rnacentral:sRNA from 1 species
GGGAACUUUGUUUUUUCUUUUCGUCUCUUUGGCGCCUGCGUCGGCAGAACUUUGUUGCUUUUUUCGCUUUGCGUGGGCGCAAGAGAGUAAGCAACAAUUAGCGCUGUGAUUUAUUGAAAAAUCUAUAAAUUAUCUAUUAUUAUCAGUAUGGAAAAUACACCCACGCAAAAAAUGAAGCGCUUUAUCUUGGAUGCAGAGCAACCUAUGCCAAAGGAACAGCCAAUAUCGCGUAAUAAAUUGGCUAACUAAAAUCAAAAAUUGACGUUCUAACGGAAGCUGUGGCGGAGGCGGUGACCCUUAUUAUAUUGCAAGAUAAAAAAAAUUACGGAACCUAGUGGGGACGAGACCAUCUAUGUCCAACUGCCUAAGAAAUGUGCUGCACGAGAGGCUGAUGUUGGCGUAUUAUUUGGAUGAAGCCUCGGAAGAAGUUUCAAGAAAUCGGCGGUAAAGUUGAAGAAUGAAAGAUCAAAAAACCCAGAUGAAUAUUAAAUUUUCUUGAAUUUAACAGAUUGAAAAACA